rnacentral:lncRNA from 1 species
AUCCUCGGUAACAAACAAUUAUUUUUACUGUAAAAAAAAGAUUGAUCUUAUACAUUGCUUAAAACAACAACAAUUGGUUACUUUUUUUUUCUGAAGAACUGGUCACAGCCAAAUUUCUGAUAAAAUACUUUAUUGAAACUUUUGCAUGAACUAGACAGAUCCAUGGCGCGCAUGUAUCUUGAGCCUAUCUUACACGCAUCGAUUUAUUACCACGGCCCAUCCAUUGUUUCUACGGCGUUUAAUUAUAGCAGCAGCAAGAACCACCAUUGACUGGUUCACAGUGGCUCUUUUUGAAUUCGAAAAAUGAGCAGUGGUUCCUGCACGCCUCUUCGAAUUCAUGGCCUUUCUCACAGCUUGCAAGACGCACACACAAGUUCAGGGGGAUUGGUUUUGUUGAACCUGUGCAUGAAAAAGUAUAGCAGCGUCAGCAUAUAUAGAUUACUUAAGUUACAUGGGUUAGUUUGAAUUACAUAGGCAAAGGUGUGCGCACGCUUAAAAAUGAAUAUGAAAAUAUAUACACAAACGAUUGUAGUACCUGCAUGGCAUGAUAAUAGGGUGGUAGACAUCAUCACAAGAGCUACCAAGAGUAGGGCUCUUGUGUUGUUCUUGAUAAGUUCCAUGAGGAAUGGUUUCUUGUUUCUUUAUUUCUACGUAUGUGCAAGUAUCCUUUGUAGUUUGCACUUGUCAAC